CAGCAGCCGCGGGAAUACGUAGGGCGCAAGCGUUGUCCGGAAUUAUUGGGCGUAAAGAGCUCGUAGGCGGUCUGUCGCGUCUGGUGUGAAAUCCCGAGGCUCAACCUCGGGCUUGCAUCGGGUACGGGCAGACUAGAGUGCGGUAGGGGAGACUGGAAUUCCUGGUGUAGCGGUGGAAUGCGCAGAUAUCAGGAGGAACACCGAUGGCGAAGGCAGGUCUCUGGGCCGCAACUGACGCUGAGGAGCGAAAGCAUGGGGAGCGAACAGGAUUAGAUACCCGAGUAGUCCCUGUCUCUUAUAC
rnacentral:rRNA from 1 species